GGAUAUGAGGGCCAUCUGGCUGCCCUGUCACCCCAUUGAUCACCAGGGUUGAUUCAGCUGAUCUGGCUGGCUAGGAGGGUGUCCCCUUCCUCCCUCAGCAAUCCAUGUGGGACCCUCCUGAAGCUGCGCACUCGGUCGAAGAGGACGACCACCCCCGAUAGAGGACCGUUCCUUGGUAAAGGGUGUAAGAGUAGCUGCACUCCCCUGCUAGAACCCCCAAUCAAGCUCUCAAGAAUAUGGUCUCAAGGUACAUCCAUUUAGCUAGAAAUGUCUCUAGCUUAUCCUUCUUUGUGACACAGUAGUA
rnacentral:snRNA from 1 species